CUACUCGAUGUGUUCCCAAAUCGGUACAGCGUCAUUCUCGAGGGUUCCAUGUGCCAUUCACUCAGUUGGAGGUUCUUCUGCAGAGCGUCCAGCACCGCUCUUCCGCCGGCAUGGAUACAGAAAUGCUCGAAUGCGAGCUUAAAAUCUGGUACGUACGGUUUUACCUUUGCUUUCAGUACUUUCCUUUUCAACAUUGAGACGAAGAAGGCGAAUUGCUCUGAAAAUGGUAGUACCAAAGGGCCUAGAGUCGUGAUGUUCGUCUUUAAUGUUUCACUUGCAACCGCCAUUAAUUCGCGCGCGAGUGAAACUCCAAUUUUCCCUUCCUCGUCCUCUUUCUGAUAAACGCAAUUAUAGCUUUCGUCGUCAGCUCCUUUGUGAGUCCGAAUCGUGUGAAUCAACUCGUAUUUUGAGCGGGAUCGAUCCGUGUGCUUGUUCGAUAACAGCACGGCGGCUCCUCCCAUCCGAAACAGACAAUUGCUAAUCAGCAUCGAACGAUCGUUACCAAAGUACCAAUUUAGGGUUAUACUUUCGGUGCUCACAACUACGGCGUACGUGUUAGGGUUAGCGUUGAGAAGGUCCUUAGCAAGCGUAAUCGAGAUAGGGCUUGCGCUACAUCCCAUUCCACUGAGAUUGUAGGCUUUAACGUCGGUUCGAAGCUUGUAGUGGUUAACGAUCAUUGCGGACAGCGAUGGUAUGGGGUUGAAUAAGCUGCAAUUGACGAUUAGAAUUCCUAUUUCACUCGGGUCCAAGCCGGUUUUCUCGAAGAGAGCAUCGAGGGCGCCGAACAUUACAGUCUCCGCUUCGAAGCGUGCUUCGUCAAGACACAAAUUCGGCGGCCGAGAAGUAAUUCCUCUCGACAAGUAGGUUUCGUCGCCAAGACCGGCUCGUUUUGCUACUUUCGACAUAAACUUAAGGGCAUCUUCUUGAAAGCCACCGUUCGCUGCACUCAUUUCCAGGAAACUGUCCACCGUCAUCUUCCUCGCGUCCGCUGGUUUGUGACAGGCAAACUCCACCAGAUAAACCGGCGUGGAUCGCUUGGAACAGUAGAAGCCAAGGAGAAAUAUCGACAGCAAACCGGCUAUGGCCGUAGUUGCAUCAAUCUCAUAUUGUAAUCUUGUGGUCGGCAGUAACUCAGAUACUCGGAAGAGUUUGAAACCGGAAAGUUGAAUAGCGAGGGAAAUAAACAGAGGCAAAAUGACGAGGAACAUAAGAGUAGUGGCAGAGUUGGAUGAGUACCCAUAUCCCAAUUUUACAUAUUUAAGCUUGACUGACUGUAGAAAGUCCGGCAAGCGUUGCCGGAUUCUGAUAAGGAUGGAAGAGGAGUCCUUAAGCUCCAUUUCUGCCGUUAAUCUCUCUGUAUCCAUCUCUAUGCUCUCCAUAUACAACGUCUUGCUAAUUUCUCUGUGGUUGUCUUUGUGGAGCACACUCUCAAAUCUCACCCCUGUUGAAGUAAACUAUGUACCAUCUUAUAUAAACACAAGGAGGCCAUUUCAGAGAAGAAGAGGGACAGUGGAAGAAAUUAAUGAAGGCAAAGACUUUCACCCUUUCACACUUCCAGAUGGUUGGGUAGUGAGAAGCACACACAUACACACACACACAGAAAGAGAGAGAGAGAGAGAGAGAGAGAGAGAGAGAGAGAGAGAGAGACAAAGAGGUAGAGAGGGUUUGGCACUUGGCGGCACCAAGCAAGAAUAGAUAUAAACAAUAGAAGAAGAGUGAAGGGAAAGAAGGAAGGAGAGGGUAUGCAGAAAAUAAAUGGGAGUAGUUCCAAGAAUGGUGAGAUAGCUCAACAACCACACACCUCUGCAAGUAAGUUGGAGAGAAAGACCUUUCUAAUAAGGAACUUAAUUAAUGGAGAAAUCCUUUUCAAAUUGUAGUGGUUUUGAGAUUGGUAGUUAGAUAUUUAUUUGCAUAUCUUCUUUAAUGACAUCUCUCUCCGUGCUCUUCUGGUUAGCUAAGCAGCCCUUAUUUGGAUUGGACAAAUAUCUAUCUCCAUGCUAAACAGAAUUCCAUCUCCGACUUAGUUCUUCCAUCUAGCUUUUGCUUCUUUUUUUUUUUUUUUUUUGCAGGUAUGAAUGAAUAUAAUUUGCCAAUGCCUGAACCUUUUUUACUCCUAAAUGUUACUCUAAUCACCAUUUUCCCUUUUUGAAGCAUUUUCAUGUUAACUUCAUUGAAUUUUGAAUCUUGUAUUGGAAGGAUGUCAUUACUAUUGGUGAUGUCACUCUUUUCGUAGGACUACUGUGCAUAUGCCUGAAACAAAGUUGGGACCAUGGGCUAUAAAACAAGUUGCUUAUUUUGGGUUUUGUUUAUCCUUCCACGGAGACUCAAAACAGAGACGACAGAGCCCAACCUUUCCUUUCUCGGUUAGCCUUUCUCUUAAUUACACACGAUCAAAUCAAGGAUUGUUAUGUCUCUCCUCUUCUCCCUUUCUUGUUAAUCUGAAUACUACUUUUUCUCAUCGUAGAAUAUUAUUGUUCGAAAACAUAUACUUUCGUAAAAUUAUAUACGAGUCCAUAAAUAUUUUUGUAACAAUUUAGUUUAUACCUCAAAAUUUGCAACAAUUUAACCUCCAAAUUCUAGCGUUUGUAGUGGAAUCAAUUUGAAACUAAGGAUUUACUUUUUAUGGUAAAAACUAUUUGUAAAAUAUAAUGAAAUUUCUUACAUUAGAGACAUAAAGUAUAAACAAAGUUAUAUAAUACAAAAUGACACCCAACUACGAUGAGAUUUUUCACAACACAGAUUAAAUAUUACAAAUUUAAAUUAAAUAGAUUGAAUUUAUACUUGUUAAAAUUAAUAAACUAAAUUGUUAAUUUAGAAGUCCAUGGAUUGAAUUUCAUGAAAGUUGGAUUUGAUAGAUAACCAUUUUGUUAAUAAAAGUAGGGUUGGGUUUUGACAACGAUUCCAACUCCCUUCCAUUGUUCCUUUUAUGUUCGUUGACUCUUGGAUCCAGUUUACUCUAUGCUAAGGAAGGCAGACUCUUAUCUCAUUUCAUUUUAGUUUCUUAAACUAUCCUUGACUGAACUACCUCCAGAUUCUCUCUUUAAUCAUCGUGCUAUGCUAUGAAAGGUGUUUAGGUCAAGAAGUGAGUUAUUAUAAUCUUUUAGGUUAUUUUAGUUUGAGUUAUAGUAAUGUGUUUGGUAUGUAUGGUUUUAGUUUGAUAAAAAAUAGUAAACUCUGCCUAAUAAAAAAAAUUUGAAGAAUGUUAAAUAGUAAAUACUAUAACAAAUUGAGAGUUUUGAAAUAGUGUUUAAUGUAGUUAAUUGAAAGCUUUUAAAUAGUAUUUAUUAUACUAAGGAUGAUUACCUCAAAGGUUCCUAUAUUUUUGUAUGCUUUCUUUUCCUAUUAUUCUUAAACUUCUAGACUCCUCCAUUCAUCCCUGAAUUUUGAAUCCAUAUUUUCAGGUAAAAUAGUAGUGAAUGUGAACAAAUAAAUACUUUACAGAUGUGCAGUAGAAACCUUAAUGGAGUGCUAUUAAUAUUGGUUAUUGUUAAUUAAUUACUAUUAAAGAGAUGUAAUUAAUUAUAGUAUUAAGUGACCCAACUUGUCUAAUUUGACCUUGACGAAGGAAUUAAUGCGACAUCUUUUGCACAUAAAGUUAAUGGGAGAAAAUUCCUUACUUGUAAGUUUGGUAAAUACUUGAAGACCUGGGCUUUAAAUGAGCAAAUUUAGUGCAUGUUUUGAUUGAUUUUUAAUGUGUCUAGAAGUAGAAAAAAAAGUUUAUAAACACUUGAAAAGUAAAUCAAAAGCACCUCAGAGAGAAAUUGAGAAAUUGUGAUUAUUUGUAUUUGAAUAAUUUGAAUUAUGCAACAGCAUUAAUCUUGAAUGAAAUCACUUCUCUUAUUACAGUUUUUGAUUAUUUGUACAAUUACAAUGUAUUUAAUGAGUUUUGAGAAACAAGAAAAGGUACAAAUUUUCUUAGACUUCUCUAAUAUGUGUAGUUCUUUGCUUCGGCAUCAAUGAUUGUGACGACAGGAUGGAAAUACUUGCAAUGCAUCUCAGGAAUCAACUUCAUAACACCGGCGUUAUGAAGAGGAGAGAUUUCAGCUUCCUUCUACGGUAUUUUCAUCAGUUCUCCACACUAUGUCUUUUAAUCCGGAUGAGAAACUCUUAUAGAACUGCCACAUGCAAAUGAAAAAGCACAUUAAUAUAUACAGUAUUUGGGCCAUUAAGCUUUGGAAUGAGGUAUUUACUUCCAAUUUCAACUAAAAUUACUGAUAUCAUGCCUUGUGAAACUCGAGCGUGUCGCCCCCUGUUUUCCGAAGCUCCACCAUAUGCAGGGAAGGAGCCACUUCAAAGACCUGGAAUUCAAAGGGCAAAAACGCUUGACAUCAGAUCAGGUGUUGACAGAAUGAGGCCUGAUGAUGAUGAGGCCAACUUACGUUCAUUCAGAACUAAGACUCCCUAGAAAUUUGCCCUUUCUUAUCAUAUCGGUACAACAUAGUUUUAAUAUUAGCCAGCAAUAAUAUUACACUUUUAUACCUCAGUAGCUAUGGAGAGGUGUCCUUUCCUCCCAGUCUUGUCCCCUUGCAACUUCAUCUGCAGUGUGAUUAUACCUCAUUACAACUCUUCUAACAAUCACUCAUCUCAGGAAUCAUAUUAUGUAUCUUACACACAUCUUUCAAUAAAAGGUUACCUUGUAGUCCCGCUUUCGUACAUUGAAACCCAUCGGUUUUGCAGUUUCUUCAAUCUUUGACAUGAUUUCGUUUGCAGGGCUUUGCGAAGUAAAACGAGUUUCUCUCUUUGCAACAGUCUACAAAGAAAAAGAUAAUCAUCUAACCAACUACGGUGCAAAUACCCCUCAAGAAAUGGGUUGUCCUCAGCUCAGUUAUUGCAAAAUUAUCGUAUCAUCAGGAAAUUUUUUGGCUUACAAGUUGUAGUCAGGUAGAAUAAGGUGCAAUUUGACAUUAGAGUAAAUGAAAAAUGAUUUAACUCAGUUAUGUAUUGCCAUUUGAUACAUGUGAUAUCAGGCCAUGUUUUUCUUUAGGGUAACAUCAUGAAUCAAUGAUAGUAGGAAAAGUGGGUCCAUUUAAAAUACAUAUGUAAUCCAAUCCAUUUGUAUUUAAAAAUUACGUGAGUCAGACUAACCAAAAUUUCUGUUACUGUUAUAUUAUGAGAAUUACGAAUUUUUCACACUUACUAUAACCAUUAACGGUAAUGAUAAAGGUAAUAGUAAAUAUGACAAAUUUAUAAUUCUAAGUAAACGUGAAUAUAAGCAAUUCAAUUAUGUUUGCGAUUAAGGCAAUACAAUUGUACCUAUUUAUGUAUCUGAAUGGGUAAACAUGAGUACAGUUCACUAACUAUAAAGAAGGAUUAUAGUACUAUGUACUGUAAACGUACC
rnacentral:lncRNA from 1 species